GUGGGGAAUAUUCCGCAAUGGACGAAAGUCUGACGGAGCAACGCCGCGUGAGUGAUGAAGGUUUUCGGACUGUAAAGCUCUGUUGUUUAGGACGAAAGUGCCUGUUGCAAACAGUUACAGGUAUUGACGGUACUAAACGAGGAAGCCACGGCUAACUACGUGCCAGCAGCCGCGGUAAUACGUAGGUGGCAAGCGUUGUCCGGAAUUAUUGGGCGUAAAGAGCAUGUAGGCGGGAAUCUAAGUCUGUUGUGAAAAUGCGGGGCUCAACCCCGUAUUGCGAUGGAAACUGGGUUUCUUGAGUGCAGGAGAGGAAAGGGGAAUUCCCAGUGUAGCGGUGAAAUGCGUAGAUAUUGGGAGGAACACCAGUGGCGAAGGCGCCUUUCUGGACUGUGUCUGACGCUGAGAUGCGAAAGCCAGGGUAGCGAACGGGAUUAGAAACCCGUGUAGUCC
rnacentral:rRNA from 1 species